CACAGUUUGGAGCCUCUCGAGUUUGAUCCUGGCUCAUAGGUCCUAUAAGGUAACCGGUAUUGGAUCCCCUACAGUUUGUUCCCGGCCCUAUAAGACUGGGAAACUUAACGGAAACCGGAGCCCUACCGGUUAACAUAUUGAACCGCAGGGUUCAAUAGUGAAAGGCGGCUUUGCUGUCACUUAUUGAUGGAUCCGCGCCGUAUUAGCUAGUUGGUAAGGUAACGGCUUACCAAGGCAACGAUACGUAGCCGACCUGAGAGGGUGAUCGGCCACACUGGAACUGAGACACGGUCCAGACUCCUACGGGAGGCAGCAGUAGGGAAUCUUCCGCAAUGGGCGAAAGCCUGACGGAGCAACGCCGCGUGAGUGAUGAAGGUCUUCGGAUCGUAAAACUCUGUUAUCAGGGAAGAACAAAUGUGUAAGUAACUGUGCACAUCUUGACGGUACCUGAUCAGAAAGCCACGGCUAACUACGUGCCAGCAGCCGCGGUAAUACGUAGGUGGCAAGCGUUAUCCGGAAUUAUUGGGCGUAAAGCGCGCGUAGGCGGUUUUUUAAGUCUGAUGUGAAAGCCCACGGCUCAACCGUGGAGGGUCAUUGGAAACUGGAAAACUUGAGUGCAGAAGAGGAAAGUGGAAUUCCAUGUGUAGCGGUGAAAUGCGCAGAGAUAUGGAGGAACACCAGUGGCGAAGGCGACUUUCUGGUCUGUAACUGACGCUGAUGUGCGAAAGCGUGGGGAUCAAACAGGAUUAGAUACCCUGGUAGUCCACGCCGUAAACGAUGAGUGCUAAGUGUUAGGGGGUUUCCGCCCCUUAGUGCUGCAGCUAACGCAUUAAGCACUCCGCCUGGGGAGCGUGGAGGGUCAUUGGAAACUGGAAAACUUGAGUGCAGAAGAGGAAAGUGGAAUUCCAUGUGUAGCGGUGAAAUGCGCAGAGAUAUGGAGGAACACCAGUGGCGAAGGCGACUUUCUGGUCUGUAACUGACGCUGAUGUGCGAAAGCGUGGGGAUCAAACAGGAUUAGAUACCCUGGUAGUCCACGCCGUAAACGAUGAGUGCUAAGUGUUAGGGGGUUUCCGCCCCUUAGUGCUGCAGCUAACGCAUUAAGCACUCCGCCUGGGGAGUACGACCGCAAGGUUGAAACUCAAAGGAAUUGACGGGGACCCGCACAAGCGGUGGAGCAUGUGGUUUAAUUCGAAGCAACGCGAAGAACCUUACCAAAUCUUGACAUCCUUUGACCGCUCUAGAGAUAGAGUUUUCCCCUUCGGGGGACAAAGUGACAGGUGGUGCAUGGUUGUCGUCAGCUCGUGUCGUGAGAUGUUGGGUUAAGUCCCGCAACGAGCGCAACCCUUAAGCUUAGUUGCCAUCAUUAAGUUGGGCACUCUAAGUUGACUGCCGGUGACAAACCGGAGGAAGGUGGGGAUGACGUCAAAUCAUCAUGCCCCUUAUGAUUUGGGCUACACACGUGCUACAAUGGACAAUACAAAGGGCAGCUAAACCGCGAGGUCAAGCAAAUCCCAUAAAGUUGUUCUCAGUUCGGAUUGUAGUCUGCAACUCGACUACAAGAAGUAGGAAUCGAACGUAAUCGUAGAUCAGCAUGGUUCGACGAAUACGUUCCCGGGUGUAACACACACCCCCCGUCACGCCCCUAGAGAGUUUAACCCCGGCUCGCCAAGUCGUAACAAGGUAACCAGUAUGGCUCCUCUAGAGU
rnacentral:rRNA from 1 species